GUGAGGAAUUUUGCGCAAUGGGGGAAACCCUGACGCAGCAACGCCGCGUGAGUGAUGAAGGCCUUCGGGUCGUAAAGCUCUGUCAAGUGGGAAGAAACUGAUUAAUGAUAAUACAAUUAAUUACUGACGGUACCACUGAAGGAAGCACCGGCUAACUCCGUGCCAGCAGCCGCGGUAAUACGGAGGGUGCAAGCGUUAUUCGGAAUCAUUGGGCGUAAAGGGCGCGCAGGCGGUUUUUUAAGUCAGAUGUGAAAGCCCGGGGCUUAACCCCGGAAGUGCAUUUGAAACUGAAAAACUUGAGUAUGGGAGAGGGAAGUGGAAUUCCUGGUGUAGAGGUGAAAUUCGUAGAUAUCAGGAGGAACACCGGUGGCGAAGGCGACUUCCUGGACCAAUACUGACGCUGAGGCGCGAAGGCGUGGGUAGCAAACAGGAUUAGAAACCCUAGUAGUCC
rnacentral:rRNA from 1 species